GCUGACGUUAUGAGUGUUAGCCUUUCUUCAGAACAAAGUAGCAUCUUCCUAGGAUGUUUUUCAAUGGAAUUGUCAGAAGUAUUUCAAUGCUGCCUCAUAUGUAUAAAUAUGUCUGGAUCUAUGAAAACCGUAUGUGUCAAAAAAUAAUCGCCCCCUACUCAAGCAUUUUUUUUUUUUCGUCUCCAAAGGAGACGAUAAAGAAUUCAAAGGAAUGUAACCGACUCUCUUAUCUUCCUUUUCGUGCUCUUCUCUUGUCUUAUUUAGAUCGCUUAAGUAUACUUUUGAGGCCUUUAGGAGUCGUAAAAUUAAAGUGUGUAGGCUAUUUGGUGCGAAAGAAAGCAUUUUCAUUGGCACGGUUUUCAUAGCUCCAGUCGUGUAUGUAUAUAUCCGGUCCCCUUUUCCUUCUUCUGUUCAAAGUUUUACUCGCGCAAUCAACGUUUUUACAGGAAUCCCGUGGCAGUUCUGAUAACUUGGCAUUUACCCCAUCUCAAGAUGUCUAGCCAGUCAUUGUGGUCAAAGAGAGGGAUGAUUGGGAGAUUUUCACCGAGUCUAAAAUCACUGCUGAACAGGAUGCCAAACAGAAAGAAAUUAACUAAGGAAACAACUCCUCAGCUUCCCAAAAACUGUGCACCAGCGAUAUCUGAUCCCCUAUCAGUAAAAAUGACUGGAUCCAGUAGACAACCAAUAUAUCCCUCUCGCUGGAAAAGGGGAAAGCUGCAGGCAAUGCAGUUGAGUCCCAACUCAACUGAGGCGAAGGACCACUCAGAAUACGUCAAGCAAUCCUUGAAGGCACAACUUGAAGAGCAAGAACGAAGAAUAGAUGAAGUAGAUUGUAAAUUACAAUUAAUGACCAAAUGCUUUAAAGAGAAAAUCCAAGACAUGAACACAUAAUUUUAUGGAUAGCUUGCUGCUGAACGUAAAAGAUAUGAAGCCAAGAGGAAACAGAUUGCCUCUCUCAGAAGAAAAGUAGAAGAACUCCAGAAGGAACUUGAACAAGCGCAAAAGGACUCGUCCAAAACAGUUCUGACAUUGUAUGAACUAACUCACUAUGGGGGAAACAUGAAGGUAAGAUUUCCAUAGUGCUUAUCAAGAGAGGAUCAAGGGUAGCUUAAUUCAUCCCCUAUACAGGCGUCAUUUCCGAAGUAAUGAUACCUCGACGUCACUCACAGACCACUCUCGGCGUUGCAAAUCGUUGCGGGAACGGGUAGGGACGCUGGAAAUAGCCAAUGCA
rnacentral:misc_RNA from 1 species